rnacentral:rRNA from 1 species
AUUGAACGCUGGCGGCAGGCUUAACACAUGCAAGUCGAGCGAGCGGCGGACGGGUGAGUCAUGUCUGGGAACCUGCCUGACGGUGGGGGUUAACUACUGGAAACCGUAGCUAUUACCGCAUACCAUCCGAUGUGCCCAGAGGGGAUUAGCCGGUCGGUGGGGUAAUGGCUAACCUAGGCGACGAUCCCUAGCUGGUCUGAGCGGAGGACCAGCCACACGGGAACGGAGAAACGCUCAAGACUCCUACGGUAGGCAGCAGAGGGGAAUAUUGGACAAGGGGGGCAGUCCGGAGGCAGCAAGGCGGGGUGGGGGAAGAAGUCCUUCGGGUGGAAGAGCACUGUCAGAGAGAAGGCGGUACUCGCAGAAGAAGGACCGGCUAACUCCGUGCCAGCAGCCGCGGUAAUUC